AACGAACGCUGGCGGCAUGCCUAACACAUGCAAGUCGAACGAGACCUUCGGGUCUAGUGGCGCACGGGUGCGUAACGCGUGGGAACCUGCCCUUAGGGUCGGAAUAACUCCCCGAAAGGGGUGCUAAUACCGGAUAAUGUCUUCGGACCAAAGAUUUAUCGCCUUUGGAUGGGCCCGCGUUGGAUUAGCUAGUUGGUAGGGUAAAAGCCUACCAAGGCGACGAUCCAUAGCUGGUCUGAGAGAAUGAUCAGCAACACUGGGACUGAGACACGGCCCAGACUCCUACGCGAGGCAGCAGUGGGGAAUAUUGGACAAUGGGCGAAAGCCUGAUCCAGCAAUGCCGCGUGAGUUAUGAAGGCCUUAGGGUUGUAAAGCUCUUUUACCCGGGAUGAUAAUGACAGUACCGGGAGAAUAAGCUCCGGCUAACUCCGUG
rnacentral:rRNA from 1 species